UAAUUUAAUUUCAUCCAAAUUCUAAUGUAACAGGCCAAUUCUACCCAGGCCCAAAACCAAAUAAAAAUAAUAAAUAAAAAGUCCAAAUAUCAAAAGUCCAUUUACAAUACUUACAAGCCCAAAUUAUAUUCAACCCAAACAACCCAAUUUACAAACUCAAAAUUAACUUAAACCUAACCCAAAGUCUAAAGGCCCAAAACACUUAAAAAUUUUCUGUAAAACCUAAACCCUAAUUUCUUUCUGCCGUCGCACCCC
rnacentral:lncRNA from 1 species